AACGAACGCUGGUGGCAGGCCUAACACAUGCAAGUCGAGCGCGCCCUUCGGGGUGAGCGGCGGACGGGUGAGUAACGCGUGGGAACGUGCCCUUUUCUACGGAAUAGCCUCGGGAAACUGAGAGUAAUACCGUAUACGCCCUUUGGGGGAAAGAUUUAUCGGAAAAGGAUCGGCCCGCGUUGGAUUAGGUAGUUGGUGGGGUAAUGGCCUACCAAGCCGACGAUCCAUAGCUGGUUUGAGAGGAUGAUCAGCCACACUGGGACUGAGACACGGCCCAGACUCCUACGGGAGGCAGCAGUGGGGAAUCUUAGACAAUGGGGGCAACCCUGAUCUAGCCAUGCCGCGUGAGUGAUGAAGGCCUUAGGGUUGUAAAGCUCUUUCAGCUGGGAAGAUAAUGACGGUACCAGCAGAAGAAGCCCCGGCUAACUCCGUG
rnacentral:rRNA from 1 species